rnacentral:rRNA from 1 species
UUAAAUUGAAGAGUUUGAUCAUGGCUCAGAUUGAACGCUGGCGGCAGGCCUAACACAUGCAAGUCGAACGGUAACAGGAAGCAGCUUGCUGCUUUGCUGACGAGUGGCGGACGGGUGAGUAAUGUCUGGGAAACUGCCUGAUGGAGGGGGAUAACUACUGGAAACGGUGGCUAAUACCGCAUAACGUCGCAAGACCAAAGAGGGGGACCUUCGGGCCUCUUGCCAUCAGAUGUGCCCAGAUGGGAUUAGCUUGUUGGUGAGGUAACGGCUCACCAAGGCGACGAUCCCUAGCUGGUCUGAGAGGAUGACCAGCCACACUGGAACUGAGACACGGUCCAGACUCCUACGGGAGGCAGCAGUGGGGAAUAUUGCACAAUGGGCGCAAGCCUGAUGCAGCCAUGCCGCGUGUAUGAAGAAGGCCUUAGGGUUGUAAAGUACUUUCAGCGGGGAGGAAGGUGUUGCGGUUAAUAACCGCAGCAAUUGACGUUACCCGCAGAAGAAGCACCGGCUAACUCCGUGCCAGCAGCCGCGGUAAUACGGAGGGUGCAAGCGUUAAUCGGAAUUACUGGGCGUAAAGCGCACGCAGGCGGUCUGUCAAGUCGGAUGUGAAAUCCCCGGGCUCAACCUGGGAACUGCAUUCGAAACUGGCAGGCUUGAGUCUUGUAGAGGGGGGUAGAAUUCCAGGUGUAGCGGUGAAAUGCGUAGAGAUCUGGAGGAAUACCGGUGGCGAAGGCGGCCCCCUGGACAAAGACUGACGCUCAGGUGCGAAAGCGUGGGGAGCAAACAGGAUUAGAUACCCUGGUAGUCCACGCCGUAAACGAUGUCUACUUGGAGGUUGUGCCCUUGAGGCGUGGCUUCCGGAGCUAACGCGUUAAGUAGACCGCCUGGGGAGUACGGCCGCAAGGUUAAAACUCAAAUGAAUUGACGGGGGCCCGCACAAGCGGUGGAGCAUGUGGUUUAAUUCGAUGCAACGCGAAGAACCUUACCUGGUCUUGACAUCCACAGAACUUUCCAGAGAUGGAUUGGUGCCUUCGGGAACUGUGAGACAGGUGCUGCAUGGCUGUCGUCAGCUCGUGUUGUGAAAUGUUGGGUUAAGUCCCGCAACGAGCGCAACCCUUAUCCUUUGUUGCCAGCGGUUAGGCCGGGAACUCAAAGGAGACUGCCAGUGAUAAACUGGAGGAAGGUGGGGAUGACGUCAAGUCAUCAUGGCCCUUACGACCAGGGCUACACACGUGCUACAAUGGCGCAUACAAAGAGAAGCGACCUCGCGAGAGCAAGCGGACCUCAUAAAGUGCGUCGUAGUCCGGAUUGGAGUCUGCAACUCGACUCCAUGAAGUCGGAAUCGCUAGUAAUCGUGGAUCAGAAUGCCACGGUGAAUACGUUCCCGGGCCUUGUACACACCGCCCGUCACACCAUGGGAGUGGGUUGCAAAAGAAGUAGGUAGCUUAACCUUCGGGAGGGCGCUUACCACUUUGUGAUUCAUGACUGGGGUGAAGUCGUAACAAGGUAACCGUAGGGGAACCUGCGGUUGGAUCACCUCCUUACCUUAAAGAA